UAUAAAUACUUUUUUAAAGUUUUAUUAAAUUUGACAUUAUUAUUAAACAGUAUCAUCCAAUCCUCCUGCCAUUCCAUUCUAAUCCUCUUCCUCUGGACCAUGCUGCCUUCUGCAAGGGAGUGGAAUCCUGGCCUCAUAUUUUUCUUAUUACUAUAAUCCAUGGGGAUUUGUUGCAUGUAGAAAUUAUUUUAUAGAUAUAAUAAAUUUUAUUAUUUGAGCAAUGUUUUUCUGUUUAGAAAAAAAGAGAGUAACUUUUGCUUACUUUAAAUUCAAUCAAACUGAGAAAGAGACAAAGAGAGAGAAGAAAGAAAGAUUGAUUUACUCAAACCCAGCAUUAGAAACAUCUUACUCACCCCAGGCCUACAGAAUCAAAUUCUCAAGGCUGGAGGCCCAGCAUCUGCACUUGUAACCAGGUUUCCAGGAUGAAGAGGAUCUCCCAGGGCUUUUCUCAGGGGAUCAGCCUCUACGUUAAGAAGUGUCACAAGGAGGGGAUAAUUUUAAUCCAACACAUAGAAAGCGUCAUGAACUCAAAGAGGACUUUAGCCUUUUGGUUGACGUUGUGAUUGGCAAGUAGCUCAUGGGGUAAUCUUUGCCAUAGUGACAUUGUAUAUAUUCAUUUGUGUCUUUCUUACUUAUAACUUUUAAUUUUUCUCCUUAAUUACCUGACUGUUAAAAGUUUGGAAUUUCUGGGGGUUUCCUUCUCUUUCUUUCACCUCCCCAAUGAUAUCCAAUAAGUAUUCCAGUUUAUAUAAAAAUAUAAGAAUAAUAUUUGCACUUGGUGAGUGCAAUUUAACUUAAUAUCCUUUUGAAAUUGAGAUAGAUUUCAUAUACCAUCAAAUUAUCCUCCUAAAGUAUAUGAUUCAGUGGAUUUUACUACAUUUACAAAGCUGCACAGCCAUCACCACUGUCUAAUUCUAGACCUAGGAAAUGCCAUAGUCCUCCCUGCUUCCUGCCUAUGAAAUGUGUGGCUUGCCCUUAGGGUCCUCAUGAGGGAGACUCAGAGAAUGGAGAAAAUUCAAGUCCAUCAUGAUAGCACCUUGGCUGUGAAUUCACAGAACAGAGAUUGCAAGACCAGGACCCUCAAAUUUGACCAACUCAGAGACCCUGAGGCUGCCCCAGGGAUUGGGAUCUUACUUCUUCAAAGCAGAAGAGAGUUUCAAAUGAGAUUAGACCAUGACAACAGUGACUAUCACUAUCUAGAUGACAGAAGGUUUAAGGAAAAUAUUCAUUUACUAGUUUUCAAACUUGAUGAAAGAGAAAGCAUGAAUUAUAGACUCAGUAUUUAAAAACCAAAUACAUUAUUCAGAAUCAAAUAUAAAAGCCAGAUGCCACAAAUUACUCCCAAAUUCACAUUUUGAGAUAUGGUUGAUUCAAUUUCUGUUUGAGGAUGCAUUUUCCUAUGUGGCUUUUGGUUUAGAAGAGUCUUUUUCAGGUAAUCUUUUUCUAAGAACUAACCAAAAGGUAUUUGUUAUCCAAGAGUUGUCAUUACUGUUUCUUCAUUUAGGCACUCAUUUAUUUAUUCACAGGUUGCAUGCUGUCCGACCUGUCCUGGUUGGUGGGAGGGAUGGAGCCUGGCUUCCUGUGUAGAGUGCCCAUGGACUGGCUAGUCAGGAGCUUCAGCACCUCUUCCAGGAAUUGCAAGCAGAGCCUAACUUUCCUGUGGAGGCUGCUGGGUCUAAAUGCCUUCCACCUACUUUUUUCUGUGAAUUGACUUCUGUAUCCAAUAUGAUUGACAUAUUUAUUAUUGACCCUAUCUGACAAAAGUCAAGCAAUUAUGGAUCUACAUUUUUCUCUCUCAAUCUCAGGAGCCAAUAUAUUCAGUGUGAAAGCUCAAUUUUCAUUUGGAAGAAAAAAUAUUGGCUAAAGAAAAUUUUUUUCCUAAGUCUAAAUUUUUAAAAACUUUUUUAACCUACAAGGAAUAUGUUGUGUUAUGAUUGAUAUAUAUGUUUUUGUCCUUAGUCCCUAGCGCAUAACUCCCCUAGCUCUUGUUAAAAUCUUUUGUCAUAAUAUUGGGUGUGUUAGUUCACAGAAGCAGGCCCCGGGGAACUGAAUGUCUCUACUGCCCUCUUUCUCCUACCCCAACUCAGGACUCUAAUCUUCUCUCACCUAUCUAAUUAGGGAUCUUAGGAAAUUCCCCUGAGAGGGUUCCACCCUGUACCCUAUACUGGGGGAAGGAAUGCUGAUAUCACAAAUCUUCCAUGAACACCCAAAACGACUGGGUUCAGAGGGCUUUUGGAAAGCUGGACAUGUGGAGGCCAACAGGAAGGUGAAGAACUCAUCCACGUGCUGUGAGGGUGGCCUACCCCAACUCCAUGGGUACAGAAGGUCCUGCAUUUAGGACUCAUCUAGACCUCACACCUAUGUAUCUCUUCAUCUGAUUACUUAUAUCCUUUCAAAGAUCCUUCUUAGUAAACUGGUAAAUGUUAAGUUUUUCUCUGAGUUGUGUGAGACACUCUAGCAAAUUAAACCCAAAGAGGGGGUCUUGGGGACCCCAACUUGAAGCCACUUAAGGUUCCGGAGACCCAAAGUAACAACUUGGAGGAAGAAAAGCCCUGAGCCCUCAACCUAUGGGAUGGGACACUCUCUCUAGGUGGACAGUGCUGAAGUUGAAUUGAAGGACACCCAGCCAGUGUUCACUGUUGGCAGUGGGGGAGAGUAUCCACACAUUUGGCCAUAGAAGUCUCCUGGGGUGAUUGUUGUGUUCUGAAAGUGGAGGAGAAACACAGUGUGAGAGUUGUUUUUUCUGACACAAAAUAAAAAUAUAAUUUAAAUACAUUUGGAAAAUAGAUAUGUCUUUAUUAACACCAUUCUCAAUUCAUCAAAUUUCAGAUGAAAGAAAGGUCUAUUUGGUGAAUUUAAGGAUUUGAGCCCAGGCAAUAAUAGAUUUAAAUACAAAAGUGUAGAGGUGUCAUUAUUAUACAUUUUCCUCCUAAGUGAGUAUGAUGAGCUUUAUCGGUUGAAAGAUCGCUACUGAGAGUCAAUGGCACUGAGUUAUAUUUUAACCUUUAGCAUAUGACAGAAUAAACCAUUAGCAUAAUCUUAUUCACAUUGUUUCUGUGUUGGCAGAGCCUACCACAGAGUUCCAGCACCUCCCUUUGUCACCCCAAAGCAUCACGUUUAGCCAUCACUUUACCGCUUCAUCUGAGACAUUACUCUUUUGUCUGUGCUAACACUGAUGGAUUUUCAAACUGUCUUUUAAACACUAGACUUUGUAUUUGUAAGGCCCCUUUCCACUGCUAGGGCAACUGGAAUUGCACUUUGAAGUUGGCAUAUAAUCCUUUAUAGUCUUAAUAUGUGAGGAUCCCAACUAUGUACUAAGGCAUGAUGAACUCCCUCCAUUCAGACAACGACCCCAAUCCUGUGAAGCAGGGAGUGAACAUGGACGUGGAUGGUCAGAUGGACCCAUUUCUCCAUGAUGUGUUCAAAACGAUUUCUUAUGCCUCCAGUGAAUUCAUGGGAAUCCUUGCUGAUUGAUGUAAUAAAGCUUGUAAAUGAUAUAAAAAAGAAAUUUUGGAAAAACAGGCUGAAUGGCAAAUAUAGACACAAUACCACUACUAAUUAUGAUGUUAAAUUAUGUAGAGGUUGUCAUACAUGCUGAGGGACCACUGGUCUUCAUCUACUAUUAAAAGUCACCCUAAUGGAUAGUUUUUUUGGCAUGCAAAGUGGUUCAGGAUGUUUUUAUUGGCUACUUGUCUUAUAACUAAGCAGAUUUUCCACAAGGCUGGUCUAAGAGUUAGGGUGUGUAGUAUGAACAGUGUAGGAAAAUGUACUGGAUACUAUUUUGUACAGUUUGUCUCCAUGGUGAAUCUGUUAUGUCAGAGGCUCUCACUCCGUUUUUUUUUUUUUUUUUUCUUUUUUUCUCUGAGUUUUAAAAUCCACAAAAUAGGAGAAAAGAACAAAAUCUUUUUGUAGUCUACAACUGCUAACAAAUUAAUCACUGAAAUCCCUUUGGAAACCAACAUAGAUGUGACUUACACCAAUGUAUGUGGACUCAGGGUCUAUUGAGCUCAGGAAUGUACCUCUGUUGGAAACUGAAUAGAUAUUACAUCUCUGUGAAACCUGCCAUGGCAUCAUGGUGUUUUAACAUUAAUCACAAAAAAAAAGUUAUUUUGAUUUUCUGCUGAGGUUUGAUUAAUUUUACUGACAAAAGAGGCAUUACAAAAGAAAGGAGCUCUUCGAAAAACUGAAAAUUUAAUAGGAAAUUUUAUUAAAUACAUCAUUUUGAUUUGCAAUCCUGUUAUAAAAUUUGAAAAGUUCAUAUUCUACAUUUGAAUUGUCCAUAUGUUUCCUUAAUAAGCUGCAAUAAAAAUAGAAUAUAAAAGUAUGCAGCUUCUCAUCAGUUUUAUCU